UUUCAGUGAUGACACGAUGACGAGUCAGAAAGGUCACAUCCUGCUCUUGGUCCUUGACAGUGCCAUGUUUUGGUGGUGCUGUUCACAGGUUCCUUUUGCAGAAGUGUGUCCUAUUCAUUGAUUGAUUUAGAGGCAUUUGUCUGAGAAGG
rnacentral:snoRNA from 1 species